CAAUUCUCUACUCUGCCUGAGGGUGGCGCAUACACCCCAGGAAAUGUUCUAAAUAAGAAAAUAAAAACACCUUUCCUCCGGUGAAGACGCUGCUAGAAAGCAUCAAGGACUGGUUGAAAGCUUUGAGAGAACAACUAUGGAAAACUUUUAAGCCGCGUUGACACUGCGAGCUCCUCAAGAUACCUCCGAUUGGUUUUAAGAGAGGGAUAGAUCAUCUGAAUCUGACCCUGGUGGUCAGUGGCGAGCCAACCGCAGAAGUCAGAGAACGGACCAAGAGCCUGGUGUGGCCAGCCGUGGCAUCUUUGGAACCAUCA